AUACGUAGGUGGCAAGCGUUGUCCGGAAUUAUUGGGCGUAAAGCGCGCGCAGGUGGUUCCUUAAGUCUGAUGUGAAAGCCCCCGGCUCAACCGGGGAGGGUCAUUGGAAACUGGGGAACUUGAGUGCAGAAGAGGAUAGUGGAAUUCCCAGUGUAGCGGUGAAAUGCGUAGAGAUUUGGAGGAACACCAGUGGCGAAGGCGACUGUCUGGUCUGUAACUGACACUGAGGCGCGAAAGCGUGGGGAGCAAACAGGAUUAGAUACCCUGGUAGUCCACGCCGUAAACGAUGAGUGCUAAGUGUUGGGGGGUUUCCGCCCCUCAGUGCUGCAGCUAACGCAUUAAGCACUCCGCCUGGGGAGUACGGUCGCAAGACUGAAACUCAAAUGAAUUGACGGGG
rnacentral:rRNA from 1 species